AUAUCAUUAAGCGGAGGAAAAGAAAUUAACUAAGAUUGCCUCAGUAACGGCGAGUGAAGCGGCAAAAGCCCAAACUGGAAAUCUUCACACUGCGUGUGACGAAUUGUAAUCUAAAGGUGAGUCGCUCACCGGGUGGAGGCGCAGAAGUUCCCACGAACGGGACGCCAGAGAGGGUGACAGCCCCGUAUGUGGUGCCUUUGCCUAACGAGCCCCUUCCUACGAGUCGGGUUGUUUUGAAUUGCAGCCCUAAGCGGGAGAUAGACUUCUUCUAAGGCUAAAUAUCUAUGGGAAACCGAUAGCGAACAAGUACUGUGAAGGAAAGAUGAAAAGAACUUUGAAAAGAGAGUUAAAAGACUUGAAAUCGUUGAAAGGGAAGCGCUCGCGACCAGACUUGCGGGCGGCGGAUCAGCUGGCGCCCUCGGGCCCAGCGCACUCCGUCGUCCACAGGCCAGCAUCGGUCUGCAGAGGGGGGGAAAGUCGGCGGGAAUGUGGCUCUUCGGAGUGUUAUAGCCCGCCGUAAUACCCUUCUGCGGACCGAGGUACGCGCUCCGCAAGGAUGCUGGCGUAAUGGUUGCUAGCGA
rnacentral:rRNA from 1 species